AGUUUGAUCAUGGCUCAGAUUGAACGCUGGCGGCAGGCCUAACACAUGCAAGUCGAGCGGAUGAAGGGAGCUUGCUCCUGGAUUCAGCGGCGGACGGGUGAGUAAUGCCUAGGAAUCUGCCUGGUAGUGGGGGAUAACGUCCGGAAACGGGCGCUAAUACCGCAUACGUCCUGAGGGAGAAAGUGGGGGAUCUUCGGACCUCACGCUAUCGGAUGAGCCUAGGUCGGAUUAGCUAGUUGGUGGGGUAAAGGCCUACCAAGGCGACGAUCCGUAACUGGUCUGAGAGGAUGAUCAGUCACACUGGAACUGAGACACGGUCCAGACUCCCACGGGAGGCAGCAGUGGGGAAUAUUGGACAAUGGGCGAAAGCCUGAUCCAGCCAUGCCGCGUGUGUGAAGAAGGUCUUCGGAUUGUAAAGCACUUUAAGUUGGGAGGAAGGGCAGUAAGUUAAUACCUUGCUGUUUUGACGUUACCAACAGAAUAAGCACCGGCUAACUUCGUGCCAGCAGCCGCGGUAAUACGAAGGGUGCAAGCGUUAAUCGGAAUUACUGGGCGUAAAGCGCGCGUAGGUGGUUCAGCAAGUUGGAUGUGAAAUCCCCGGGCUCAACCUGGGAACUGCAUCCAAAACUACUGAGCUAGAGUACGGUAGAGGGUGGUGGAAUUUCCUGUGUAGCGGUGAAAUGCGUAGAUAUAGGAAGGAACACCAGUGGCGAAGGCGACCACCUGGACUGAUACUGACACUGAGGUGCGAAAGCGUGGGGAGCAAACAGGAUUAGAUACCCUGGUAGUCC
rnacentral:rRNA from 1 species